rnacentral:tRNA from 1 species
UCCCUGGUGGUCCAGUGGUUAGGACUCGCCACUUUCACUGCCAAGGACCCAGGUUCAAUUCCCAGUCAGGGAA